rnacentral:rRNA from 1 species
GCCUCAUACACAUGGAUAACAUACCGAAAGGUAUGCUAAUACAAGAUGAUAUAAGAGAUUCGCAUGGAUUUCUUAUCAAAGCUUUUGCGGUAUGAGAUGGACCCGCGUCUGAUUAGCUAGUUGGUAAGGUAAUGGCUUACCAAGGCGACGAUCAGUAGCCGACCUGAGAGGGUGAUCGGCCACAUUGGAACUGAGACACGGUCCAA